rnacentral:lncRNA from 1 species
AGAUUCAAGUCUAGAGACAAAAAAAAAUCAGGAAAUCUACAAUGAAGGAGGAUACUGAGCUCGCAACAGCCAUUGGGAGUUCAACCAUGCCAUCCCACAAUACUUUGGUGAUAAAGAAGAAGAUCGCAAUGAUAUAGAGGCAGAACAUACGCCUCACUUCACCUCAAGAUCUCUGCAGCAGCCUGUGCCCCGCCUCAGUGUGUCACUGCGAAGCCCAUCAUUUGUUUGUCGUCGUCUUGCUUCCUCCGGCCUCGGCUCAUCUGCCAGCGACUCUAUUUGUCGUCGUCUUGCUUCCUCCGGCCUCGGCCCAUCUGCCAGCGACUCUGUAGAAGCCAAUGACGUAUCUGCAGCCCAACAACUAAUGUGAAAUGUGGGAGCGAAGAAGUCAUAUUUAUAGGGGCCGAAACUUGGAGGGUAAGCAUUGAAUUUGAUUUUGGAAGCCAAACUCCAAAUCAGUAUUUUGUAUUAACCAUCAAUUUUUUUGUUUAUCCGGUGGUUUGUUAUAUGUGAAGAUUAAUUUUAUUUUUACCCAAAAGAUUGUUGGAUAUAUGUCAAGCUUGGGGUCCAAGUCUUGAAUUGAUUUUGAAAAUCAGAUUUCACUUUACAUUAUACAUUAGACAAAUUUGGAUUACACAUUGGAUAAAUGGGUUGUUCAUUUUCCCGCCAAAAUGCACAAAUUGGCUCAGGUUGAGCUUUUAUAUAUAUAUA